rnacentral:misc_RNA from 1 species
UGGUUCCGGCAUNGAUGAAGAACGCAGCGAAAUGCGAUAAUUAAUGUGAAUUGCAGAAUUCAGUGAAUCAUCGAGUCUUUGAACGCACAUUGCGCCCCCUGGUAUUCCGGGGGGCAUGCCUGUCCGAGCGUCAUUGCUGCCCUCAAGCCCGGCUUGUGUGUUGGGCCCUGUUCCCCCGGGAACAGGCCCGAAAGGCAGUGGCGGCACCGCGUCCGAUCCUCGAGCGUAUGGGGCUUUGUCACCCGCUCUGUAGGCCCGGCCGGCGCCCGUCGACCCCCCAACCUUUUUUUUUCAGGUUGACCUCGGAUCAGGUAGGGAUACCCGCUGA